AGAACUGUGUAAAAAAGAUAAACUGUCUAGCAUCUGGGAUGCGUCGUCAGUUUCCUAUUUUUACUUUGUUCU
rnacentral:ncRNA from 1 species